rnacentral:lncRNA from 10 species
GUGAGCCCAGGUCAGGACUCCCACACAGCCCUGUGACUGCACUGAGUGUUGGCUGCCUCCUUCUUCAGUCUCAUCCGGGUCAGCAGAGUCACACAUGGCCCAAGUCAACCUGUGCCAGACCAAGGCCUGUGAGUAGAAGGGGAGAUGCAUCUGUCCUGUUGUGGGUUAAAUUGUGGCCCCCCCAACCCUCCCCUGCCACAAAAGAUAUAUGAGAGUCCUAACCCCUGGGAACAGUGACCUUAUUUGGAAAUGGAGUCUUUGCCGAAGUAAUCAAAUUCAGAUAAGGUCCUAUUGGAGUAGGUGGACGCUUCAUCCAAUAUGACUGCUGUCCUUCAAGAAGACAGAAAUGUGGAAACAGACACACAGAGGGAUCGCCAUGUGGGAUGCACAAGGGAACACCAUGAGAGACUGAGUCAGACACUGGAGACCCCCAUUAUAUUCUCCAUCUGUCAGAUGGAGACUGUGAUGUAAACCCCAUGUGGCUGGGAGGACUAACCAAGGGAUAAAAAUAGAGUUGCUGUGAAGAUGAAGUAAAUGAAGACAUGCUGAGAACUCAGAACAACGCUUGGCAACAGUAAUUGUUUAAUACGUGCUAUUAUUAACAAGUAAUAGU